CCUACGGGAGGCAGCAGUGAGGAAUAUUGGUCAAUGGACGAGAGUCUGAACCAGCCAAGUAGCGUGAAGGAUGACUGCCCUAUGGGUUGUAAACUUCUUUUAUAUGGGAAUAAAAUGUUCCACGUGUGGGAUUUUGUAUGUACCAUAUGAAUAAGGAUCGGCUAACUCCGUGCCAGCAGCCGCGGUAAUACGGAGGAUCCGAGCGUUAUCCGGAUUUAUUGGGGUUAAAGGGAGCGUAGGUGGAUUGGUAAGUCAGUUGUGAAAGUUUGCGGCUCAACCGUAAAAUUGCAGUUGAAACUGGCAGUCUUGAGUACAGGAGAGGUGGGCGGAAUUCGUGGUGUAGCGGUGAAAUGCUUAGAUAUCACGAAGAACUCCGAUUGCGAAGGCAGUUCACUGGACUGCAACUGACACUGAGGCUCGAAAGUGUGGGUAUCAAACAGGAUUAGAUACCCCAGUAGUC
rnacentral:rRNA from 1 species